rnacentral:rRNA from 1 species
GACGAACGCUGGCGGCGUGCCUAAUACAUGCAAGUCGAGCGCAGGAAACUGACGGAACUCUUCGGAGGGAAGGCAGUGGAAUGAGCGGCGGACGGGUGAGUAACACGUAAGGAACCUGCCUCAAGGAUUGGGAUAACUCCGAGAAAUCGGAGCUAAUACCGGAUAGUUCAUCGGACCGCAUGGUCCGUUGAUGAAAGGCGCUUCGGCGUCACCUUGAGAUGGCCUUGCGGUGCAUUAGCUAGUUGGUGGGGUAACGGCCCACCAAGGCGACGAUGCAGAGCCGAGCUGAGAGGGUGAUCGGCCACACUGGGACUGAGACACGGCCCAGACUCCUACGGGAGGCAGCAGUAGGGAAUCUUCCACAAUGGACGAAAGUCUGAUGGAGCAACGCCGCGUGAGUGAUGAAGGUUUUCGGAUCGUAAAACUCUGUUGUAAGGGAAGAGCACGUACGAGAGGGAAUGCUCGUACCUUGACGGUACCUUACGAGAAAGCCACGGCUAACUACGUGCCAGCCGCCGCCGUAA